UAUUUAUGAUGAUGGCCAUCUACUUAAAAAAGGGUUUCGUCCUAAUCUACAAUCAACUGUAAAUGUUAGUGGAUGCUCGCUCCAUGCAGAAAUAAACUACGUAGGAGUAAUCAGGUGCUGUGGAUAAUUGAGAAGGCUAAACACGGAUCUUUCAAUCAGCGUUAAUUGUAGGGUAAGUUAAUCCUUAUA